rnacentral:tRNA from 1 species
UAGAGGAUAAGUUAUAUUCAAAUAAACUGUAGGGCUCAUGUCCCUAAAAAGAUUAAUAUCUUCUCUAU